AGUGAACGCUGGCGGCAGGCCUAACACAUGCAAGUCGAACGAGUGGCGGACGUGUGUGGCAUACAUCUGAAUCUACUCUGUCGUGGGGGAUAAUGUAGGGAAACUUACGCUAAUCCCGCAUACGAUCGAAUGAGCCGAUGUCGGAUUAGCUAGUUGGCGGGGUAAAGGCCAACCAGGGCGACGAACCGUAGCCGGUCGGAGCGGAGGAUCAGCCACACUGGAACUGGGACACGGUCCGGACUCCUACGGGAGGCGGCAGUGGGAAAUAUUGGACAAUGGGCGCAAGCCUAAUCCAGCCAUACCGCGUGGGUGAAGAGGGCCUUCGGGUUGUAAGGCCCGUUUGUUGGGAAAGCGGUACCCAAAGAAUAAGCACCGGCUAACUUCGUGCCAGCAGCCGCGGUAAUAC
rnacentral:rRNA from 1 species